rnacentral:rRNA from 1 species
ACGAACGCUGGCGGCGCGCUUAACACAUGCAAGUCGAACGGAAAGGCCUGCUUUCCCUUGUGGAUUGCGGGUACUCGAGUGGCGAACGGGUGAGUAACACGUGAGUGAUCUGCCCCCAACUUGGGUAUAAGCCUGGGAAACUGGGUCUAAUUCCCGAUAGGACUGCAGGGUGGUGCCUGUGGUGGAAAACGAUUUUCUAGUGGUUGGGGAUGAGCUCGCGGCCUAUCAGCUUGUUGGUGGGGUAAUGGCCUACCAAGGCGGCGACGGGUAGCCGGCCUGAGAGGGUGGACGGCCACAUUGGGACUGAGAUACGGCCCAGACUCCUACGGGAGGCAGCAGUGGGGAAUAUGGCACAAUGGGCGGAAGCCUGAUGCAGCGACGCCGCGUGGGGGAUGACGGCCUUCGGGUUGUAAACUCCUUUCGACCGCGAGGAAGCCACCUGGUUGGAAGGGUGGUGACGGUAGUGGUAGAAGAAGCACCGGCUAACUACGUG